AUCAUAAUGAAGUAGUGACGACGCUCGGAGUAUUUUUAUGAGGUCGUUUUCUGAAUUUUUCGUUUCUGUUCUCUACCUUUAGUUUGCUUCAACCAAAUGUUAUAAAAUUUAUACGUAAUGCUUUAUAAUGGUUUAUAUUUAUGCAAGAGGGGGCAUCAUCAUGUCCCAUGGACACAUUCCUUCAAACUCAGAGUCUUGUACAUGUAUUAGUACACAAGUAUGACCAAAUUUAAACACCUACCCUUCCAACUGAUAGUUGUGGGCAUAAAAGUUAAGGGACGACAUCAAAAGUUCAAUGUAGGAUAAAAAACCCAACUUAAUUCACAUAGUUUGUUCACUGACCCCCUCCCCCCUCUUAACUUAAUUUGGGAAAAAUUUGAUUGACCAAUAUGGAUAUAUGUAAAAUCGAUGUCAAAUUAAUAAAAACUUGCAGCAACUUUUAUCCCCCCCCCCAAACUAUUUGAAUUCAGUUUUUUUUUAUCCUACAUUGAUCUUUUGAUGUCAUCCCUAAGUUAAUCACUGUUUUCUCUCAUUGACUAUGGUCAGUCCCAAAGUGUUACAAGACAACAAGAUUCUUUGUAAAAGGAUGCUAUUAAAGAUGACUCUCUUCUUUGGAGAUCAACAAACAAAAUAUUUUUGUGUUUUACAGAAAUGACAAGAUGAACACAUAAUGCCCAUUUCCGUAAAAACGAGUUCGGGGAC
rnacentral:lncRNA from 1 species